UACAGAGGUCUCAAGCGUUGUUCGGAUUCAUUGGGCGUAAAGGGUGCGUAGGCGGCGCGGUAAGUCGGGGUGUGAAAUCUUGGAGCUUAACUCCGAAACUGCAUUCGAUACUGCCGUGCUUGAGGACUGGAGAGGAGACUGGAAUUUACGGUGUAGCGGUGAAAUGCGUAGAUAUCGUAAGGAAGACCAGUGGCGAAGGCGGGGUCUCUGGACAGUUCCUGACGCUGAGGCACGAAGGCCCAGGGGGGAGCAAAACGGGG
rnacentral:rRNA from 1 species